AAACAGAGAGCUUCAGCCAUUUUUCAAAAUUGGACUCUCUCAUCAGACAAGGAAGUCGUUCUCGUCGUUCCCUCUUAAGCUUCAGCGACAAAACACACACACGCACAAGAACAGGCGAAACAAAAGAGAAAAUCUGGGCAGAAAAUUGAUCGAAGAAGAGUGGUGGUUUUGUCAUUUGAUUUUGACUUUAUAUUUUUUAUUUUAAGUUGAUUUCGCUUCGUUUGUUAUAUCAAACCGAUAUGCCUACUGAAAAAUAAGUUGUUCUUUG
rnacentral:lncRNA from 1 species